AAGAGUAUACUUUCAGGGAUCAUUUCUAUAGCUUGUUACUAGAGAAGUUGCUCUGAACGUGUGCAGUACCCAAAACCAUGAGGAGGAGGCCCAGGGUUCUCUUGUGAACAUGAAACUGGCUUUAGCCAUUGUUUCCACAACUGCCAACUGCCAUCAGUGACUGUUCUCCACCUACUUUGGAGGAGUAAGAGAGAGAGACAUGGUCUGAGUGCU
ensembl:snoRNA U3 Small nucleolar RNA U3